UGAGGAAUAUUGGUCAAUGGGCGAGAGCCUGAACCAGCCAAGUAGCGUGAAGGAUGAAGGUCCUAUGGAUUGUAAACUUCUUUUAUAGUAGAAUAAAGUGAGCCACGUGUGGUUUUUUGUAUGUAUACUAUGAAUAAGGAUAGGCUAACUCCGUGCCAGCAGCCGCGGUAAUACGGAGGAUCCGAGCGUUAUCCGGAUUUAUUGGGUUUAAAGGGUGCGUAGGCGGAAGAAUAUGUCAGUUGUGAAAGUUUGCUGCUCAACCGUAAAAUUGCAGUUGAUACUGUUAUUCUUGAGUGUACAUAAGGUAGGCGGAAUUCGUGGUGUAGCGGUGAAAUGCUUAGAUAUCACGAAGAACUCCAAUUGCGAAGGCAGCUUACCGGGGUACAACUGACGCUGAGGCACGAAAGUGUGGGUAUCAAACA
rnacentral:rRNA from 1 species